AUUGAACGCUGGCGGCAGGCCUAACACAUGCAAGUCGAAUGGUAACAGGAAACAGCUUGCUGUUUCGCUGACGAGUGGCGGACGGGUGAGUAAUGUCUGGGAAACCGCCUGAUGGAGGGGGAUAACUACUGGAAACGGUAGCUAAUACCGCAUAACGUCGCAAGACCAAAGAGGGGGACCUUCGGGCCUCUUGCCAUCAGAUGUGCCCAGAUGGGAUUAGCUAGUAGGUGGGGUAACGGCUCACCUAGGCGACGAUCCCUAGCUGGUCUGAGAGGAUGACCAGCCACACUGGAACUGAGACACGGUCCAGACUCCUACGGGAGGCAGCAGUGGGGAAUAUUGCACAAUGGGCGCAAGCCUGAUGCAGCCAUGCCGCGUGUAUGAAGAAGGCCUUCGGGUUGUAAAGUACUUUCAGCGGGGAGGAAGGGAGUAAAGUUAAUACCUUUGCUCAUUGACGUUACCCGCAGAAGAAGCACCGGCUAACUCCGUG
rnacentral:rRNA from 1 species